AUUGCACUGCACAUUGACGCACGCUUCGACUAUGGCGUUGACCAACGAGUCAUCAUCCUGAACUCCAUGGAAAAUGGGUCCUGGCAAGACGAAGUGAAAGAGAGAAACUUCCCUUUCCAUUGGGGGCAGGAGUUUGAGGUGACCAUUAUCUUUGCCGAUGACAAAUUUUACAUUAAUCUACAUGAUGGCUAUGUGCUGCAGUUCCCCAACCGUCUGGCUGACAAACAAUAUGAUAACAUUUUGAUUAAGGGAGAAGUCACAAUCGAAGGCAUAUAUGUUAAUUAAAGACCAAUCAGGAGGUGCGAGCCAUCCUCUUUCCAGCUCCUGAUUGGCUGAUCUGCUUCUGCAACCUGCUUCCUUCGUACAGCUGUGCUAUGACUGCACUUUGUCCCUCCCAGACAUCAGUGCCUUUAAUCUUGUGCUUCUCUGCAACAUUUAACAGACCCCCUCUGGCGUCUGUCCAAACUCACUGAGUAUGAGAAUCAGUACAGCUUCAAUAAUAAAUCUAUGUCAUGAGCAAAUCUA